rnacentral:lncRNA from 1 species
GUCAUCUGAUAACCUAAUUGACUCAAACCUAAUUGAAUCUAAUUGAAUUAGACUUGAUCCAAUUUAUUUUACUCAAUCAAAUUGAGCUAAUUAAUAAUUUAAUUAUUAAUUAAUAUUUUUCUAAUUUAUUAAUUUUUAGUAAAUUAUUAAUUACAAUCUUUGCAUAAGAUUGAUCAUCAAUCAUUUUGAUGAUUAUUCUCUUCAAUGAUUCUCAAUCAUCGAUCAGCCAUCAGAUCAGAAUAACAUUUUAUGCUAAGUUGGUAGUAUAAGAAUAACUUUUUAUACUAAUCAAAGUGAUCAUCUAGCAAUGAUACCCAAU